UGUAUGGUGCAUAUUACUGUAUGUAACUUACUAUGCAUAGAGUACUUACUGACAUACUAAUUAUUUUUUGUACAUUCCAGAACCCCCUGAAUGAUGUAGGCUAUGGGGCCACAUAAGACUUUGUCCAUCCAGGGUUACAUUGAAAGACAACUUUAAACUAAAGAACCCCCUGAAUGAUGUAGGCUAUGGGGCCACAUAAGACUUUGUCCAUCCAGGGUUAUAUUGAAAGACAACUUUAAACUAAAGAGCUACCAGACUGGGAUUUUAGUGUAUCAAGGAUCUAACAAAGUGUGCAAUGCAUGUGUAUACGUAUACAGUGACAGUGUUUAGUGUAUACCCUAAGGAUUAAGUGUAGUGUACAUUGUGCUUUUUAGUGUCACAAGAGUUUAAUAAAGAAUUAUACCUUCAAGAA